GGGUCUGUGGCUCAGCCAGGCAGAAUUCAUGCCUAAAGCGGCUGGCUCUUAACCAGAUAUGUCUUUGACAUAGGAGAAUAAGUCGUGGGUUCAAAUCCCACCAGACCCG
rnacentral:tRNA from 1 species